rnacentral:lncRNA from 1 species
AACAACAGGAGAGGAAAUCGCAGUAGGUGACCCCAUUCCAUGAAUGACAAGGUUAUCAAAUAUUUUCUAAAAAUUGAACACAGACUAGUGGUUGAUACAUUUCUUUUUUAUUAUUUUUUUAUAAGUUCAAUUGAUGCUUGUGUUUUAUUUAUUUUAAAAGAUUCCUUGUCAAAAUUUAAUAAUGAUAUGUGAAUCGAGCGAUUGUCGUCGGUUUUGAC